rnacentral:rRNA from 1 species
GUGCCAGCCAGCCGCGGUAAUACGUAGGUGGCAAGCGUUGUCCGGAAUUAUUGGGCGUAAAGCGCGCGCAGGUGGUUUCUUAAGUCUGAUGUGAAAGCCCACGGCUCAACCGUGGAGGGUCAUUGGAAACUGGGGAACUUGAGUGCAGAAGAGGAAAGUGGAAUUCCAAGUGUAGCGGUGAAAUGCGUAGAUAUUUGGAGGAACACCAGUGGCGAAGGCGACUUUCUGGUCUGUAACUGACACUGAGGCGCGAAAGCGUGGGGAGCAAACAGGAUUAGAUACCCUGGUAGUCC